GUGGGGAAUUUUGGACAAUGGGCGCAAGCCUGAUCCAGCAAUGCCGCGUGUGUGAAGAAGGCCUUCGGGUUGUAAAGCACUUUUGUCCGGAAAGAAAUCUCCUGGGUUAAUACCUCGGGGGGAUGACGGUACCGGAAGAAUAAGCACCGGCUAACUACGUGCCAGCAGCCGCGGUAAUACGUAGGGUGCGAGCGUUAAUCGGAAUUACUGGGCGUAAAGCGUGCGCAGGCGGCUAUGCAGGACAGAUGUGAAAUCCCCGGGCUCAACCUGGGAACUGCAUUUGUGACUGCAAGGCUAGAGUGCGUCAGAGGGAGGUGGAAUUCCGCGUGUAGCAGUGAAAUGCGUAGAGAUGCGGAGGAACACCGAUGGCGAAGGCAGCCUCCUGGGAUGACACUGACGCUCAUGCACGAAAGCGUGGGGAGCAAACAGGAUUAGAAACCCCAGUAGUCC
rnacentral:rRNA from 1 species